rnacentral:rRNA from 1 species
AUUGAACGCUGGCGGCAGGCCUAACACAUGCAAGUCGAGCGAGCGGCGGACGGGUGAGUAAUGUAUGGGGAUCUGCCCGUUAGAGGGGGAUACCUACUGGAAACGGUGGCUAAUACCGCAUAGUUUCGGUUGAACCUAUAUGGGAUUAGCUAGUGGUGGGGGAAAAGGCUAACCUAGGGGACGAUCUCUAGCUGGUCUGAGAGGAUGAUCAGCCACACUGGGACGGAGACACGGCCCAGACUCCUACGGGAGGCAGCAGUGGGGAAUAUUGCACAAUGGGCGCAAGCCUGAUGCAGCCAUGCCGCGGAUAUGAAGAAGGCCUUAGGGUUGUAAAGUACUUUCAGCGGGGAGGCGUUACCCGCAGAAGAAGCACCGGCUAACUCCGUGCCAGCCGCCGCGGUAAUUC